AGUUAUUGGAAGAAAAUUAUUUUAAUGAAUAAGUAAAUUUAAACUAUUUUAACAUGGUAUGCUAAUUGAAGUAACAAAUUUAAUGUUGUUCAAAUCAAGAAAUGUAUAGUACAAUAUUCUAAUUACAAUUCAUGCAGUUAUGGCAUAUAAUACCCCAAUCUAGGCAUGCUAGGAGUCAUGGGAGUAAAGAAAUAAUGUAUAUUGCAUUGAACUUGUUUAUAGGUCCUUCUGUUUGUCAAAUAAAACAAUUCAGUCAAACAUUUCACAGGUACAAGUUAACAGAAUUACUUCGUAUUUGGUCAGCAGCUUAACUGUGAUGUGUUGUAACAUGUGAGUAUUUUUUGGAACAGUCAGACUCCUACUUCCUGUUUGCCAAUACUUUUAAUUUUUCAAUAGGUUGAAUGAAAAAAUUUUCCUCACAGGAUUCUCUGGUAGUACUGAACAGGGUGACUUCUUCUUUUGCCAGUAGUUUGGCAUUGAUGAGUUGAAAUGUCUGAGCCCUUUUCAGAUCUGUCAGCCAUCUACUACCGUUUUUCUGGUGCUUUAAUAUAUUCCAGUGGAGGUAUGCUUAGCAGAAUAACACAGCCUCGUAUAACCAUGAUACACAUGAAUCAGGAUGUUGAUGCGUUCGAAUCAAACACACAGUGUAACAUUGAUUUCAGACCGAAAAAACAUUACAUUUUUAAGAAUAUAUUUUGUGGAGGAGGAAACAGUCGGGGCAGAUGACUCUAAAAAUGAGGUCGUUCAGCAUAACAGAUGUACUAUUUGUGUGUAUGCCACUAAAAGAAAGCCAAUCUGAGACGCUGUAAAAAAGAAAGGGUGCAUCAAAAACCAACUCAGGACAGUGUUACACAUACAACAACUAAUAGUGUUCUGUUUGUGGCAAAAUGUUCACAUUAAGAGCUGGAUUAUCAAUCCAUAUCAAGGACAAACACAUAUAUUUUUGAAUACAAAAGUAGCAUGUGUGGUGAUGGCUUCAACUGGUUGAAUUGCAUCAAAACAGAAAAGUGUUGCCUAUGCUAUUUACAUACAUGAAUUCACUGAAAGCUGAUCUACAAAACUUAUGUAACCUCUGUGGUUGUGAGUAUAACUCUUCAAACUCUCUUAGAGAGCACAAGAAAGUUGUUCAUGAAGGUCGCUUAAUUACAUGUAUACCGGUAUGUGGAAAACAGUAUAAAUGGCUAUCAAGUCAUAUAUACUGUUUAACAGUUUUUAAACUAAUACAGAAAAAAACAUAAUAAUAAUAAAAAUGUACAAAUUUGUAGUUAGUUGUUUAAUUUAGUCAUGUUGAUCUCGCCUGAUGAAUGACGCAAAAUGCAAGACAUAAUGAUGGUAAUACAGAUUGAACUCAGUUUCAUGGUAUGUUGGUUUUUGUCUCGCCUGCGACGAAAGUUGUGGAAAGCGAGAUAUAGGGAUUCCUUUGACAGCGACGGCGUCAACAAUUGUUAAGUUUUCUGAUGAAGUUAGUUUGAUAGGAACUGCUUGUGAUAGAUCAAUGAUAUUUUGUAUGAAGUUGCAUUACUAUCAGUACAUAUCAGUUUGAUGACAAUUUUGAGGCCCUGCCCCCUAGGCCAUGGUCCAGUGACUUUGAAUUAAUUAGCCAUUUUCAAUGUUAAGUUUUCUGCUUAAGUUAGUUUGAUAGGAACUACUUGUGAUAGAUCAAUGAUAUUUUGUAUGAAGUUGCAUUACUAUCAGUACAUAUCAGUUUGACGACUAUUUUGAGGCCCUGCCUCUUAGGACAUGGUUCAGUGACUUUCAAUUAAUUAGCAAUUUUCAAUGAUAAGUUUUCUGCUUAAGUUAGUUUGAUAUGAACUACUUGCGAUAGAUCAAUGAUAUUUUCUAUAAAGUUGCAUUACUAUGAUCAGUACAUAUUAGUUUGACGACUAUUUCAAGGCCCUGCCCCCUAGGUCAUGGUCCAGUGACUUUCAAUCAAUUAACAAUUUUCAAUGUUAAGUUUUCUGAUUAAGUUAAUUUGAUAGGAACUACUUACAAUAGACAAUAUUUUCUAUAAAGUUACAUUGCUGUCUGUUCAUCUCAGUUUGUCAACCAUUUUUAGGCCCAAUCCACAAGUUGGUCCAGAGACUUUGAAUUAAUUAGCAAUGUUGCUGUCCAUCAGAUUGUCUUUCAUAUCUCUGUGUCAAUAGUUUAUUAUGAUAAGGUCCAUAUAUCAGGUAUUAAUAUACAAAUUAUAUCACUAUACUCGGUGUAUAAAUGAUUGUAAUACAACAGAUUUUGCCGACAGUAAAUCUGAAAUUUUAAUGCCUUCAAGAUGUUGUUGAAUUUAAGUCCUUUGCAAACAUGUGGAAGUAUUGUUGAUUCAUCUUAGCAAUAAAAUUGGCCAAUAGGUUGUAUACCUCUUGCUGAUAUUGAUUGCUCACUGACACAAGCUUUCAUUUGUCGCUAUGUCCCUGUCAACUUUGACCUCAGGUUUAACAAAUAGGUGAUUUUUUUAAAAAGAAAAGUUCUAUCAAUAUUGAUGUUAUAUUUCACAUUUCUUAUUUUCAGUACCAUGCAACAUGCCAUGCCCCCCCCCCCC